rnacentral:sRNA from 1 species
GAUACCAGGUUUCCAAAGUCCAACAUGCGCUUGAGCUUGCUCAAGGGCGCAUGUUGGACCUUGGAAACCGCACAAAAUAUGAGCAUAAAAGUGGGACGCAGUCCCACGAUAUGCGAAUAUUUUGUAGGAUUGCGAGAGCACAUAGUGCGUAGCAAUCCGUAGGUAUC